GGGUGCUCUUGGAUAUCUGUCAGGAGCAUAACAACAGUUUUGUGAAUUUCAGAUAGAUGAAAGCCCCGUUAAUUUUUCAAUCAACGAGGCCAACAGAUGUAUCUAGACAAUUCUGAUUGUUAGCCUCUCUUACCAAAGAGGGCAAGCUAUGCCGAAAAG
rnacentral:antisense_RNA from 17 species